GCGAGCCCUCCGCAGCGGCUGAAGCUCCCGGGCUCGCUUCGAUUCUCGAAAUCCUCGGGCGCCAGGUUGCGGACCUGGAGGUCGCACGUUCGAGUGGUGGCGGGCGCG
rnacentral:tRNA from 1 species